GACGAACGCUGGCGGCGUGCUUAACACAUGCAAGUCGAACGGAAAGGCCUCUUUCGGGGGGUACUCGCGUGGCGAACGGGUGAGUAACACGUGAGUAUCCUGCCCUUGACUUUGGGAUAAAUUCUGGAAACUGGGGCGAAUACCGGAUAGGAGCUCCUGCUGCAUGGUGGGGGUUGGAAAGUUUCGGCGGUUGGGGGUGGACUCGCGGCUUAUCAGCUUGUUGGUGGGGUAGUGGCUUACCAAGGCUUUGACGGGUAGCCGGCCUGGGAGGGUGACCGGCCACAUUGGGACUGAGAUACGGCCCAGACUCCUACGGGAGGCAGCAGUGGGGAAUAUUGCACAAUGGGUGGAAGCCUGAUGCAGCAACGCCGUGUGCGGGAUGACGGCCUUCGGGUUGUAAACCGCUUUCGCUCAUGACGAAGCUUUGUGUGACGGUAGUGGGUAAAGAAGCACCGGCUAACUACGUG
rnacentral:rRNA from 1 species